rnacentral:lncRNA from 1 species
GUAAUUCACAAAGAAAUCAUGCAAAUCGGCAAAGCAAAGACAUCUGAAGAUUUAUGUGGUCCUUGGGAAGAUGAAGAUUCAAGAUGCCUCAAAAGACUUUACAAAGGGUGGAAUUUUGUUCCCAAGUUCCAAGGCAACUUACACAUAAGCAAAUACUUGAAAAGGCGAAGAAACAGACAUUUCAGCAUCUAGAACGCAGUAAGAAACACCCAGACACAUGGAAUAGCGCCCAGAGCAACCAUGAACAUGCACCUGUCGCAUGGAAUGGGGCGUUAUCCACCCAAAGGCGGUUUAGGUGCAAGGCACAUACGCCUAGCACAUGACCUAGGCCCCCUGAGCACGGCGACUUGCAAAAAAAGUUGUUGUUUUAUGACUUUUUUACCCCUUAAGCCCGUAUUUUAAGCCCAAGUUGAGGUGGAAACUUUCCUUAUAAAUACCGCAAGUCUAUGUUUAGGAAUGCCAAUAUAAAGUAUAUGUUUCAAUUACCUUUGAGGGAGUAAGACCCCACACGUAAGGAUCACCGCGUGUGACCAGUAGGUGAAACUCAACAUUGGAGGGAUAGACUGAAAUCAUCUGAGAGAGUAAGGCUCCGCACGUAAAGAUCAUCGUGCGAUCAACAAGUGCGACUUGAUGAACCGAUUCGGUUAGAACGUUUGAACGGCCAUCACUUGUAUAGUCUACUUAAGAUAACUAAACGCGACAUGAAUGUUAUUUAAUUUCAACAAAAAAUAAGUAAACUGCUC